GCGGGCGGCGUGCCUAACACAUGCAAGUCGAGCGCGAAAGGAGCAAUCCGAGUAGAGCGGCGCACGGGUGCGUAACACGUGGGUAAUCUGCCUCAGGGUCAGGGAUAACUUUCCGAAAGGUUAGCUAAUACCUGGUAAGCUUACGGUGUCUUCGGACGCUGUGGGAAAAGUAGGCCUCUGUUUACAAGCUUACGCCCAGAGAUGAGCCCGCGGCCCAUCAGCUAGUUGGCGGGGUAACGGCCCACCAAGGCAACGACGGGUAGCUGGUCUGAGAGGACGAUCAGCCACACUGGAACUGAGACACGGUCCAGACUCCUACGGGAGGCAGCAGUGGGGAAUUUUCCACAAUGGGCGAAAGCCUGAUGGAGCAACGCCGCGUGUGUGAUGAAGGUUUUCGGAUCGUAAAGCACUUUCGACUGGGACGAAAAACCUUUGGCUAACAUCCAGGGGCCUGACGGUACCAGGAGAAGAAGCACCGGCUAACUCUGUGCCAGCAGCCGCGGUAAUACAGAGGGUGCAAGCGUUGUUCGGAAUUAUUGGGCGUAAAGCGCGUGUAGGCGGCUUGGCAAGUCAGAUGUGAAAGCCCUCGGCUUAACCGAGGAAGUGCGUCUGAAACUGCUGAGCUUGAGUGUCGGAGAGGAUGGCGGAAUUCCGCAAGUAGAGGUGAAAUUCGUAGAUAUGCGGAGGAACACCGGUGGCGAAGGCGGCCAUCUGGACGACCACUGACGCUGAGACGCGAAAGCGUGGGGAGCAAACAGGAUUAGAUACCCUGGUAGUCCACGCUGUAAACGAUGAGAACUAGGUGUCGUGGGUGUUGACCCCCGCGGUGCCGCAGCUAACGCAUUAAGUUCUCCGCCUGGGAAGUACGGCCGCAACGCUAAAA
rnacentral:rRNA from 1 species